UACGUAGGGGGCAAGCGUUGUCCGGAAUUAUUGGGCGUAAAGCGCGCGCAGGCGGUUUGUUAAGUCUUCUGUUUAAUUCCGGGGCUCAACCUCGGAUCGCAGGGGAAACUGGCAGUACUUAGAGUGCAGGAGAGGAAAGUGGAAUUCCACGUGUAGCGGUGAAAUGCGUAGAGAUGUGGAGGAACACCAGUGGCGAAGGCGACUUUCUGGCCUGUAACUGACGCUGAGGCGCGAAAGCGUGGGGAGCAAACAGG
rnacentral:rRNA from 1 species